rnacentral:rRNA from 1 species
AGAACGAACGCUGGCGGCAUGCCUAACACAUGCAAGUCGAACGCUUUUGGGGCUUCGGUCCCAAAGGAGUGGCGCACGGGUGAGUAGCGCGUGGGAACCUGCCCUGUUGUGGGGGAUAACCGAGGGAAACUUCGGCUAAUACCGCAUACGCCCGGGGGAAACUCCGGGGAAAGAUUUAUCGCAGCAGGAGGGGCCCGCGUCGGAUUAGGUAGUUGGUGGGGUAACGGCCCACCAAGCCUGUGAUCCGUAGCUGGUCUGAGAGGAUGAUCAGCCACACUGGGACUGAGACACGGCCCAGACUCCUACGGGAGGCAGCAGUGGGGAAUAUUGGACAAUGGGCGAAAGCCUGAUCCAGCCAUGCCGCGUGAGUGAUGAAGGCCUUAGGGUUGUAAAGCUCUUUCACCCACGACGAUAAUGACGGUAGUGGGAGAAGAACGCCCCGGCUAACUUCGUGCCAGCAGCCGC